GAGAGGGAGCCUGAGAAACGGCUACCACAUCCAAGGAUGGCAGCAGGCGCGCAAAUUACCCAAUCCCGACACGGGGAGGUAGUGACAAUAAAUAACAAUACGGGGUUCUUUAGGAUCUCGUAAUUGGAAUGAGUACAAUUUAAAUCUCUUAACGAGGAACAAUUGGAGGGCAAGUCUGGUGCCAGCAGCCGCGGUAAUUCCAGCUCCAAUAGCGUAUAUUAAAGUUGUUGCAGUUAAAAAGCUCGUAGUUGAAUUUCGGGGUUAGUAGGUUGGUCAUGCCUCUGGUAUGUACUGGUCUCACUGAUUCCUCCUUCCUUAUGAACCGUAAUGCCAUUAAUUUGGUGUUGCGGGGAAUUUGGACUGUUACUUUGAAAAAAUUAGAGUGUUUAAAGCAAGCUAACGCUUGAAUACAUUAGCAUGGAAUAAUGAAAUAGGACGUUCGAUCUUAUUUUGUUGGUUUCUAGGAUUGACGUAAUGAUUAAUAGGGAUAGUUGGGGGCAUUAGUAUUCAAUUGUCAGAGGUGAAAUUCUUGGAUUUAUUGAAGACUAACUACUGCGAAAGCAUUUGCCAAGGAUGUUUUCAUUAAUCAAGAACGAAAGUUAGGGGAUCGAAGACGAUCAGAUACCGUCGUAGUCUUAACCAUAAACUAUGCCGACUAGGGAUCGGAUGAUGUUAAUUUUUUAAUGACUCAUUCGGCGCCUUACGGGAAACCAA
rnacentral:rRNA from 1 species